rnacentral:rRNA from 1 species
AGUGAACGCUGGCGGUAGGCCUAACACAUGCAAGUCGAACGGCAGCACAGUAAGAGCUUGCUCUUACGGGUGGCGAGUGGCGGACGGGUGAGGAAUACAUCGGAAUCUACUUUUUCGUGGGGGAUAACGUAGGGAAACUUACGCUAAUACCGCAUACGACCUACGGGUGAAAGCAGGGGAUCUUCGGACCUUGCGCGAUUGAAUGAGCCGAUGUCGGAUUAGCUAGUUGGCGGGGUAAAGGCCCACCAAGGCGACGAUCCGUAGCUGGUCUGAGAGGAUGAUCAGCCACACUGGAACUGAGACACGGUCCAGACUACUACGGGAGGCAGCAGUGGGGAAUAUUGGACAAUGGGCGCAAGCCUGCUCCAGCCAUACCGCGUGGGUGAAGAAGGCCUUCGGGUUGUAAAGCCCUUUUGUUGGGAAAGAAAAGCAGCAGGUUAAUACCCCGCUGUUCUGACGGUACCCAAAGAAUAAGCACCGGCUAACUUCGUG